rnacentral:rRNA from 1 species
CGGCGAAAGGGAGAGUAACGCGUGGUUACGUGCCCCGAGGACCGGGAUAGCGUCGGGAAACUGGCGGUAAUACCGGAUAAUGUCCUUGGAUCAAAUGGUGUGAUUCCGCCUUGGGAUCGGACCGCGUACUAUUAGCUUGUUGGUAAGGUAAUGGCUUACCAAGGCUGCGAUGGUUACCGGGUGUGAGAGCAUGGCCCGGCUCACUGGGACUGAGACACUGCCCAGACAUCUACGGAUGGCUGCAGUCGAGAAUCUUCGGCAAUGGACGAAAGUCUGACCGAGCGACGCCGCGUGCGGGAUGAAGGCCCUCGGGUUGUAAACCGCUGUCAGUUUGGAGGAAAUCCAUAGGGGUCAUCCCUUAUGGUUGACCGAUAUUCAGAGGAAGGACGGGCUAAGUUCGUGCCAGCAGCCGCGGUAAC